CAGGAAGCAGCGAGUGAGUGCACUUGAGUUUGAUACGGAGUGAAGCCUGUGUGUUUGUGGUCGAGGGGAGGCGUGGAACGUGCUGCUUAUCUGUUUGUCUUCAUGUCUGAGGAUGAAGAAGAGGAGCUGUACACGUAGAGGAAAGCUACGAAGACGUCAACUUGGACAGACGAAGAGAUUCAAGAGCUUUAGUGGAAAAGGGGCCGAUGCCGUUGUGUCGAUGUGCUGUAAACAAAAAGAGCCGGGAGGAUCAGAGCGCACCGAGGUGUUCUGAAGUCCCGUUGAGUCUCGGUGGUCCUGAUUGGUUCGUCAGUAAAUAUAAAUGUCCAGAUGGUGAAGGAAGGAGACGUCAGACUCGCGUCGUCCCUGAAGAAGACGCAGAUCCACAGAGCUGCCGAGUCGGCGUGAAUCUUUUAUCUGCCGUGGUCCCCGAGGAGCGAGCGCAGU